UGAUGAUGAUAAUGAUGAUGAUGAUGAUGAUGAUGAUGAUGGGUACAACGAUUAUAGUGACGUUGUUGUUGCAUAUCUUUAAUUAUCAUCAUCAUCAUCAAUUCGUCAUCAUCAUCAUCGUUA
rnacentral:pre_miRNA from 1 species